AUGACAUCCCCUCAGCAAUCCAUCAUGGUCCGUUAUGCUGGGCACAUGCCUACACUUCUUGUCGUCCACGCCCCAAUGCUGAAUCACAACUCCCAGGCUCAAAUAAAUCAGGGUGCAUACCGGCACCUCCACAAGCGCGUAUGCGCAGCCACCGCCCCAUCCCCUCUUGCAACUGGUCGACUGACACAGACGCGCAGCCGCCACUCCAUCCCCUCUCACGAACGCUCUCUCUAUCACGGCCACCGCUCGGGUUGA
rnacentral:rRNA from 1 species